rnacentral:rRNA from 1 species
UACGGAGGGUGCAAGCGUUAAUCGGAAUUACUGGGCGUAAAGCGCACGCAGGCGGUUUGUUAAGUCAGAUGUGAAAUCCCCGAGCUUAACUUGGGAACUGCAUUUGAAACUGGCAAGCUAGAGUCUUGUAGAGGGGGGUAGAAUUCCAGGUGUAGCGGUGAAAUGCGUAGAGAUCUGGAGGAAUACCGGUGGCGAAGGCGGCCCCCUGGACAAAGACUGACGCUCAGGUGCGAAAGCCAGGGGAGCGAACGGG